rnacentral:rRNA from 1 species
AUUCAACGGCCGCGGUAUCAUAACCGUGCAAAGGUAGCGCAAUCACUUGUCCCCUAAAUAGGGACCUGUAUGAACGGCCACUUGAGGGUCCAACUGUCUCCUGCGCCUAAUCAAUGAAACUGAUCUCUCAGUACAAAAGCUGAGAUACCCCCACAAGACGAAAAGACCCUGUGGAGCUUUAAGUAUAAGCCUAACCAGGACCCCAUCCCCCCGAGGCACAACCCAACCAUGAUAUAGCCCAAGCUUUAAGUUGGGGCGACUGCGGAGACAAACAAAACCUCCAUUAACCAGGGCUAACCCCCCAUAUGAGGCCCACAAGCCACAUACCCCACACACAGACCCAGUAAAACUGACAAUCGAACCAAGUUACCCCAGGGAUAACAGCGCCAUCCCCCCCAAGAGUCCAUAUCGCCGGUGGGGCUUACGACCUCGAUGUUGGAUCAGGACACCCAGGCGGUGAAGCCGCUGCCAAAGGUUCGUUUGUUCAACGAUUAAUGUCCUA